rnacentral:rRNA from 1 species
GUGAAAGGCUAAUCAAGGCGGGUGAUAGCUGGUUCUCCUCGAAAGCUAUUGAGGUAGCGCCUCGCGUCUAACUCAGGGGGGUAGAGCACUGUUACGGCUAGGGGGGACAUAAGUCCUUACCAAACCGUUGCAAACUCCGAAUACCCUGAAGUUCAAUCGCGGGAGACACACGGUGGGAGCUAAAUUUCAUCGUGAAGAGGGU